rnacentral:rRNA from 1 species
AGAGCGAACGCUGGCGGCAGGCCUAACACAUGCAAGUCGAGCGCCCGUAGCAAUACGGGAGCGGCAGACGGGAUAGUAACACGUGGGAACGCGCCCUUCGGUUCGGAAUAACUCAGGGAAACUUGAGCUAAUACCGAAUACGCCCUUACGGGGAAAGAUUUAUUGCCGAAGGAACGGCCCGCGUCCGAUUAGCUAGUUGGUGAGGUAAUGGCUCACCAAGGCUACGAUCGGUAGCUGGUCUGAGAGGAUGACCAGCAUCACUGGGACUGAGACACGGCCCAGACUCCUACGGGAGGCAGCAGUGGGGAAUAUUGGACAAUGGGCGCAAGCCUGAUCCAGCCAUGCCGCGUGGAUGAUGGAGGCCUUAGGGUUGUAAAGUCCUUUUAACGGGGAAGAUAAUGACGGUACCCGUAGAAUAAGCCCGGCUAACUUCGUGCCAGCAGCCGC